rnacentral:lncRNA from 1 species
UCCGAUUGUGGAUGUAUCUCCUUGAAUUCUUCAUCUUCCUCCGCGCAGACAGCGGCAGGAUGGCUGUAAGGCUUGGUCUAAGAACUCUAAGUAAGAAAGAUUGAUGGAAGCGGGUAUGUAAAAGAGAAAGGGUAGCGAUACUAGGAUUAGGAUCUCUCCUAGAUUUGAUGGGAUGUGGAAAAAAGAUCUGUGGAGGAAUAUAGUGUCAUGCUAGGGUGAGUAUCUCCCCUAAACUUACGGAGAAGAAGAAGAAGAAGGAGAGCGAAAAAGAGGAGCUUGAAGAAAACUUAGGGUUGGCUUGAUUGAAGAAGAUAGAAGCCUUGGAGUUCUAUUUAUAGAGUGGGGAGGCUAGGAUUUCAUGAAAAGAAAGGUGAAAGCGUAAAUAAGGAUCCUUAAAUCUUCAUAUUGAUUCUCCUCCGUUGAUCUUUAAGUUGUGUUCACACUGGAAUAGGAGCUGGUUGCCUGGUUCACUUAAGUCUGAUCCAAUUUGAGUCUAAUUUGAGUCAUAUGAAUCCAAACUCCCAAUUACCUGCAAAAUAAAUCAGACAACAUCAAAUUUUAAUAAAAUAAUAUCAAUUAUUAUAAUAUUUAAUGCCUCUAGCGACUUAAAUUAAGUAUUCAUCAAUGCUCUCCUUACUGCAUGUUUUUUAAUCAAUCAUGCUCCUUUCCGAGUUCUAAAUGGUAAAUCUCCAUUCCAGCUUGUGUUUUCCAAUGAGAAUGUAUUUUCUAUUCCACCUAAAAUCUUUGGCUAUUAUUGUUUUGUACAUAUUCAUCAUCUUCAAAACAAAUUGUCCUUUAGGACAGUUAAGUGCAUUUUUAUUAGAUAUUCUCGAACUCAAAAGAAAUAUAAAUGCUAUGAUCCGAUCAGUAAAAAUACUUUUGUAAGUUCAAAUGUCAUUUUUUUCGAAACCACACCCUUUUAUUCGUCUAAGGGAGAAUUAUUAAGCCAGUCUGUCAUUUCAUGUUCUACUUCUUUACCUAUUGUCUCUAUAGACGAUGAUGAGCCACCUUUAAAGUCUGCAGAUGCAUCAUGUCAUAUUAAAAAAUCUUGGCAGAUUUAUUCCAGAUGUAAGAAAACUGAUUGUGAUGGAUCUCCUGGACCUGAGUUACCUGCUCCUACCUCCACCAAUCCCUCUACUAGUCCCACAUAUCCAGCUCAGUCUAAUCAUGAUAUGUCUGUGGCACUGCAAAAAGGUAAACGAGGAACCUCCUCUUAUCCUAUAUCCUAGGAAGCAUGGAUAUCGAUAUGCGACAUGGAUACCUUGUGGUACGGAUAUACGGAUACGAUAAAAAUUAAAAAAUUAUGAUGCGGAUAUGGCUAGAUAUUUUAUAUUUUUAUUAAUAUUUAAAUAUAUAUAAUAUUCUAAUAUUAAUAAAAUAUAUGAAAAAACUGAAUCAUAUAUAUAAUAUUUGAAUAUUAAUAAAAUUAAGUUUUCAAAUCUCAAGUAAAUUUAUAAGUAUCAUCAUAAAAAAUAAACAAACACUUGCAAUUAACGAAAAGAAAUAAACUGACAGUCUAAAUAAGUAGAAGAAAUCAAAAUAGUAAAACUUGAUAAUCAAGUGAUAAUAGUUUCAGCUGCUCUAUUUUCUACAUCAUCAACAAAAAAGUUUCUCCACAUUUGAUUCAUCAAGGAACAAACUUGCAAUCUCAAGAACUCCAGUACCGUCAAAUAAAUCAAAUUAAUCUCCACCAAUGUCUCACAUCUUUAUCUCACCCUUUUGAUAAUCUUCACUCUUUCUAGACAAAAGAUGAAGAUUUGUAUGUACAUAUACUAAAUCUUCGGCUCUUUUUGGAUUGAUCUUAUUCCUCCUCAUUAAGUAAAUAAAUGAAUAAGUGCUCCAAUUUCGUUCAUAGCAUAAUGAAGAGCAAGGUUGGUUAAAAAGUUUCAAAGCAAGAACUUAAAGUAAAGAAAAUAUAGCACCAUGCACUACCCACCAACCAACUGGCUUUAAAAGCCAUGUAUUUUGCUACACCAGAAACAUACCUGAUGCUGGUACAGGCCUGAAAUAGGCAUACCGGUGCUUCAUAGCCUAUAUCCCAUUUCACUUCUAUAUCACAUCUUCCCAAAAGUAUUAGUUCCUUUGUAUCAUCUCUAUCCUUUAUUUCUGUACCCAAGACCUUUGUAGAGGCCAUUGCUGUACCAAGGUGGAAGGCCGCGAUGGAUGAUGAGAUGAAGGCUUUGCUAUACAGAAAUAUCUGGACCCUUGUUACUUUACUCUAAGAAAAAAAAUCGUGAAAUAUCGUUGGGUAUAUACAAUCAAGUACCUACCUAAUGGAUUAGUUGAGAAACUCAAGGCAAGACUUAUAGCCAAAGGGUUCAUAUAAAUAUAUGGGGUGGAUUACUUUGAAACCUUCUUGCCUGUAGCUCGGUUGAACUUUGUGAGAGUAAUUCUCUCUCUCUUGCUAAAAUCUGGAUUGGCCCCUUCAUCAACUAGAUGUUAAAAAUGCCUUUCUCUAUGGUGAACUGGAAAAAGAGAUGUAUAUGGACCAACCUCCAGAUUAUGUGGUUCAGAGGGAGGACCGAAAAGUCUAUAGACUAUAAUGAGCUAUCUAUGAUCUUAAGCAGUCACCAAAGGCCUGGUUUGAUAAAUUCAGCAGAACCAUUGGUCAAUAUGAUUUUACCAAGUGCUAUUCUGAUCAUUCUGUACUUGUAUGUUGUCGGGAUAAUAGUGUGAUUAUACUUGUGACUUAUGUUGAUGAUAUUAUUAUGAUAGGAAACAACUUGCAAAUGAUUACUCAGACUAAACAGUGGCUUAAGGAUGCAUUUCAGAUAAAAGAUCUUGGAUCACUGCACUACUUUCUUGGUAUUGAAGUUAUCCACACCAAGAACAAACUAAAUCUAUCUCAACACAAGUAUACCAUUGACUUAUUACAAGAGACUGGCAUGCUAAAUUUCAAACCUGCUAGAACUCUAAUGGACUCUAGUCUUAAGCUAACAACUGAAAAGGAUAACUUGUUUGGAGACUGUACAUGCUAUAGACGCCUGAUUGGCAAGUUGAUCUAUCUUACCGUGACUCGACUGAUAUCUCAUUCACUGUUGGUGUCUUGAGCCAGUUAUGAAUGCAUCCAGAGUUUGUCAUUGGGAAGCUGCAUGUCGGGUAUUAAGAUAUCUAAAGAGCUGCUCUAGAAAAGGGCUUAUAAAAAAAGGGGUUAUUAUCAGCUCACUGCCUUUACUGAUGCUGAUUGGGCUAGCUCUUAUGAAGAUAAACGUUCCACUACAGGUUACUACACCUUCUUAGGUGGCAAUCUAGUUACUUAAAAAAGCAAAAAGCAAAGUACUGUUGCUCAUUCUAGCUCAGAAGCCGAAUAUCAUGUUAUGGCUUAUACAGUUGGAGAACUCAUGUGGUUAAAAAAUCUCUUGCUUGAACUAGGUUUCUCUCAUCCUACACCUAUGGAAAUAUUCUGUGACAAUCAAUCAGCCAUCUACAUUGCCACAAAUCCAAUUUUUCAUGAACGGACCAAACAUGUCAAAGUGGAUUGCCAUUUUGUUCAUCAUACUGUUCUUAAGAAGCUGGUGACUAUACCAUUUAUUCGCUCAGCUGAUCAAACUGCAGAUAUAUUCACUAACGCACUAUCCAAACAAUCCUUUCAGAGUUGUUGCUUCAAGCUAGGUCUGCAGGAUCUAUAUACUCCAACUUGAGAGGGAGUGUUGAGACUUAGUUAUUUUAUGUUGCUUUAUUUAGUUUACCUAUCUUACCCCUGAUUAAUUGCUUUGUGCCAGAAUAGUAACAGAGAUAACUUAGGAAGUUGUCUCUUGUAUGCUUAUUAUAUAAAACCCCUUGGUCUGAUAGUUGAAUCAAGAUGAUCAAUUACUUUCAACAUGCACCAACAGAAGCAUAAUAUUUGAACCAAGGUUUGAGUAUCCUACAAGCAAAAAGAUGAUUUGGAGAAGUAUAAAAAUGAUCUGUUCCAGUUUUAGGGGAGCUCCAAUUUGCAUUAGAGGGUCAAAACCAAUGACAAUACUUCAAGAAAAUCAAAUUUAUGUAUUCCGACACCUUACCAUGUUACAGAAUCUAUCCUUCACAAGAAUGAACAGCGAAAGAGGAUGUGCAUAAACACAAAGAGAUGGUUAGGGCUUGUUUAUUAUACCUGCCAUCAUAGGAAUUAUCUGUUUUAGCAACCUAGUGUCUAAAGAAAGCAAACAAAAUCAUAGCACAUGAUUGCAAUUGACAUGGUUGCUUCCUUGUACUCCAGUCUAGCAGUUCCAGCAGUAACAUGGAUGACAUAUUGAACAAAACAUAAAAUCAUGUGAAAGUGCAUGAAAACCCUAGACCAAUAAUAAAUCAGAUACAUGAUCAGAAGCAGAGGAGGAACUAAGCACAACAGACAUAAGUGCAAAACAAAACAUAAUGUAGCCAGCUGAGUUUUGAUCUCAUAAUUCAGCAUGUAAAACAUAGAAACAAUCAAUAACAUUCUACAUAUCAAGCACCAGGCUGCAGAGGGUGCAAACCACACAUAAAUACCAAUUAAAUAAGAACAUAAACAGCUGACGUUCUCCAAAUCAAGCAGCUGGCUGUAGAAAGUACAAGUCCCUAGAAUCUGCAAGAAAAAUCAUUGUAACAGACGAUUUUCUGACAUGAAUCACAAAGACUGCACCAAGAUUCUAGAUGGGAAAGGAAAUACAUUUCCGUAACCGAAUCAGCUAUCUUCACACAGAAAGAAGGGAUCUAAGCUAUCACCAGAAACAUAUUUUAUCAUUAGUGUGCAAAUAAUUCAUUAGGAAUGCAAGAUCCAGCAUAAGUUCAUAACUAAAGAGAGAUUAAGGUAACAAAUACUGUUCACCACAAAGCAGCACUUCGACAAAACAGAUGACUAAAUCCUUGGGGAGAAAAUAGAAACGAAACAGAAGAAAUGGAAAAAGUAUGUGUCAAGAUAUUCCUUUGAAUUUCUACUAACAAACAGAAAUGAACAUCAAUCCCUGCCACCAGAAAAAUAUUAAACCAUUAGUUACAACAUCAAAAAAGUGAACACAGAACUAGUAGCUGUCCACUUAGCUAAUAGCAACCAUACAAUUACAUCAUGUGAAGUUUCAACAAUUACAGAAAACUCUUUUUCACGUAAAGAUUCCUGCUGCAAACUGAAACAAUGCUGAUGAUAGAGGAAUGAUAUGAUGAUACAAGAGCAAUUAUAAAAGAAAUAAACAGGUUUUCAUAGAGAUGUGGAUGCUAAAUGACCUUUUUUCCUCAAAACAUCAACGAGAAACAAGAGAAGUUAUAGCUGCUAAUUUCAAUCACUGAAAAUAGCAAGGUAACAUAAAGGUGAUGUCUCCUACUCAUACCAAGGAUGACCAGAUCAUGGACUGUUGUACCACCUCAAACCACCCACACAAGGUGUACCAUACCAUAGUAGGUCAGAACUAAUAUUUGAGUUGGUCGUACCAAGAUUGCAAACCUUGGACCAAAUAAAAUAAAAAAGAAAUGAGUAAGUAAAAUAAUUACUUGUCACUCUGCACAAUCAGCAUUUUAAGAAACAGGGGAAACAAUUAUAAUUGAACCCACUAGAUAUGAGGCCAUAUAAGUCAGUGACCAAGCAUCAACUAGCAGCCUUUCAGCAAGUAUUGAGAAAAUAGGCCUACACAAUCAGGUUAUAAUUGUAUAAACAGAACUGAAACUCUCUGAGUAGUGUCCCAAGGAAAAUGGUCUCAAAAGUUUUUGAAAAAAAUUAGUUAAAGUCCAUUCCUCUUGUUGCAGUUGACCAUAGAUCAUCAUUUGUCGACCAUGUUGCAAGCUUCGGACAUUAAAUUAGCAAGGUCACCAAAUAUGCAACUAGCAUACGCAUAUCCAAAAACUGGAAAUUUCUAUCCAUAGACUUAAACAUUCAAAACUUCCAGCCUAAUCCACGCAGGUCAACAAACCAAGAAACAGAAAAGAAGAUAAAAAGAGGAAUAAGAACAUAAUUCAGUUCCCAAAACCUGAUUGACUCCCUCACCCAUCCACCUUGGUCAAUUUUCCCCCCUCCUGCAGCCAGAUCUCACCUUGCCAUGGUUGUGACACGCACUGGAAGGAGAAGAUUUGCCAGAUCUCUUCUCACUAUCCCUCUCUUGUUGUAGGUAAUGGGGAAGGCCAUGCCAGAGGAGCAAGCAAAACCACAAGAGGUGGCAUCAUUAACGGAGUGGUGGAGGGGAAGGCAGUGAAAAGAGGAUAUGAAGCAGCCAGAUCUUGAUUGGAAGAGGGCUCCUCCUCUUCUUCAUGCGGAUUGAGGUGGUGUGGCCAGAUUAAUCGAUGGCUGGAUACGGGAGCUACAAGUUUGAGGAAAAGGGGAAGUCCUCUUGUCCUCCUCGAGGGAGUGUACCUCCACCUCCGAGUGCCAAACCACCCUUUAAGGCUCGACAUGUUUUAUUUUCCUCAAAUGACCUUACGUGGCUUGUUCGCAGAACAAAAGGCAACUC